AUCUACAGCCAUGCCACCCUGAAUGUGCCCGAUCUCAUCUGAUCUCAGAAGCUAAGCAGGGUCGGGCUUAGUACUUGGAUGGGAGACCACCUAGGAAGACCAGGUGCCGAUA
rnacentral:rRNA from 1 species